AUGUGUGUUUACUUAGAGCUAACAACAGCUAUGUCAGGUUCAUCAAGAAUGUCCUCGGGAAUUGGAGCUCAAAGGUGUUCGCUAUUGCCUUGUUGGCAUCUGGCCAGAUUUCUACAAUUACAGGAACUUAUGCAGGACAAUAUGUCAUGCAGGGGGUUUCUGGAUCUUCGGAUGGUGUUCUGGUUACGAAACCUUCUAACUAGGUCCUUGGCAAUUGUACCUAGUCUGAUUAUGUCACUAAUUGGUGGUUCCUCGGCAGCUGGGCAGUUGAUUAUCACUGCUUCGAUGAUACUGUCAUUUGAACUUCCUUUUGCUCUAGUACCCCUCCUUAAAUUCACCCGCAGCAAAACAAAGAUGGGGCCGCACACAAAUUCAAGAUUCAUUUCCAUGCUAACAUGGGCGAUCAGCUCUUUCAUCAUGGUCAUCAACAUCUACUUCCUGAUAUCGUCUAGCUGCUCCUCCACAGCGGGCUAUCCACCGUUUCCCAAGUAUUCACUGGAAUAUUUGGGUUCCUUGGCAUGCUCAUAUACAUCGCCGCGAUCCUAUACCUCGUCUUCAGGAAGAACAGGAAGUGAACCUUGCCAUUGCUCGAGAGCGAGGCAAAGCUUGAGGUGCCAGACCAUGCUGAGGGAGAAGGUGCUCUGGGUCAUCUUCCCCGGGAGGAUAUCUCCAGCAUGCAGCUUCCUCAUCAACGCCCUGCGUGAG
rnacentral:rRNA from 1 species